CGCUGAGGUGGCAGGAGGCGGAGAUGCUGCAGAAUCGGAGACUUGUGACACGUCUUGCCCCCUUCGCGGCCCACCCCUCGAAACUGCUGUGGAAGUUAGAGCCCGGGGUGAGCGAGGGCUUCAGGAUAGGGCCCUUCUGCGGGGGGUUGUCUAUUGCACAAGGCAGUUAAGCGCAGUUACAGAAAAGGAGUCGCGGCACUAGUUUAAUGGGAAACUGCAGCUGACGCAGGCUGCAUUUUCAAGAGUGUGGACUGCUGCAGAGUUGUUCCCUUUAAAAACUGCUCAUGUCGCCUUAAAAAGGAUGUUGCUGUUUUGCCAGUGUGCUCUCACCCACUAUGCAGUUCAAGCGCCUCUCCCAUUUAUUAUUAGAGAGUAUCUAUCAUAUUCCUCAUAGAAUGCGGCUGUUUCUGCAAUUCCACUUUUCUUGUGCUGGUUGUUUCUUCCUUCUGCACCUGAUGCUUUGAGAGUCUUCUUACAGUUUCUGUAUAAGCACAGCAGCUCUCAAAGGAAGCUGAGCCUAGAAGGAAAAGCUGUGAGACCUGAGACAGACACCAGUCUACUUGGCAAAUUCCUGGUUGCCGGAUAGUUCAGUCCAGUCUUGGCAACAUCAGCCAUGAAUGCAGUGAGCGGCAUGCUACAUUUGUACUCCUUGUAGUGAGGAGGCAUAGCCUCCCGCAGAGAUUAACAGGGAGGGACUAUAACUCAUCACCUGCUGAGUGGAGCAAGGAAGGUGCCACCCACCCACCAGAAGAAGAGGGCGAAACAGGAAGAGGAAGUAUAAAAGGCCAGCCCUGAAGCUUAGUUGGGCAGGAGCCACCAAGGAAGACAGACACAUCUCUCUUGCUGCUGGAGCCCGAAGAGGACCCCGGCCUAGUGCUUACCAGCAACUGUAGCACACAGAUGAAUUCCAAUUCUAGUGACGACGUACCCAUUUUGUCAGCAUUCAACACCCAACCAUUGAGAUCUUUCUCCAGCUCAGGAAAUGAAGCACACCUCGUUGGACAUUUUUUCUUGCUUCUUGGCAUGUCUUUUAGUGUCGUUUUAUUUUUUUGCUAUUCUCUUACUUGCUUCCCAUUGAUACAGAAUUCACAAGCUGUAGCGCAAUUAUUGUUUUCUUCUACAUAUUCAACAACUUUACAUUUGAAUGCUGCUUGAUUAGCAGACUGUUUUCUUUUGAUUCACUGUUUAUUUUAAAUACUAGUAUGAAAAUCUUAGAAAAUAAUAAUUUAGUUGUAGAUUUUGUAUGACUUUAUAUAGAAAUGUCACCUGCUUUAUCACUGUCCAAUUAUUAUUAUUCUUUCUUUAUUUCCAACAGCCCUGUAGAUUGGCACGUCUUUGGCGAUAACAGGCUAUUUAAAUUUUAUCACAGAUUCCAUUGAUUCUGCAUGUUAUAUUUUCAAAUUGGCUCGAGACUUACAAGGUCCAUUGGUAGAAAUGCAUGAAGAGAUCAAAUUACAUAGUAGUGGUCUGACACCAGUGCCAUAGUAUUAUCGUUCAUUAUAUUUUUCUGAUUCACUUGUGAAGUGUAUUAUUUUGUGAAAUGCAAACGUCAAAUGCAAUGGAGUUCUGCAGCAGUGCUCUUUUAGCUUUCAUUUCAAGCCAGUCCACUAAACAAAGCCUUUUCAACUUUAAACGGCUGCAGUACAGACAUCAAUAAAUUAUUUUAUGAAUAAUAUAAGUACGUGCUAUAAAAAUAAUUAUAAUAGAGUCCCGUAGUAGAAAAAUACUAGGAAAAGCAAGCAGCUAGUACUAGGAAAAUUGAACUUUAGGGAAGCACGUGUU